UUUUGUUUUGGUUUUUUUUCUAUUUUUUUCUUUUUCCUUCAGUACCUUUUCCUGUUCUCCCAUUAUCCUCUGCACUGGGAUCAUCCCCUGGAAGGAGACGGCUGCGCCCCAGGGGGAACACCAGGAGAACUUGUGAGGUUCCAAACCCAAGGACCAGCUCUGCCCCAGCUGAUGCUGCCUUUGAGGGGGCUUUCCUCAAGGGAUGGAGAGAAAGUGGAGCAGGGGCAGCACCAGAAAAGGUCCAGCAGUUCCAAGGAGUUGUUGUGGACUUCUCUGUUCAGACAACAUCUGGCAAAGAGAAGUGAUUUCCAUGAGAAAAGUUUCAAGUGCAAAAAGAGAAAUUAUUUUCUGGGGUUUGUUAAAUUUUUUUUUGCAAAAUUAUUACUCCAUCUUUGGUGGGAAUAAUUCCCAGCUGCAUUUUGAAAUAUCUCCCUUCCUGCCACAUUCUUUUUUUAAUGGGUGACUUUUUCUCCAUGCAAUGCUGAUGUCAAUGGUGACUUUUAAAAUGCACGGGGAGAAGAAGCAUUUUUUUCCAAGUCUUCUGGGAAAGGCUUUUUGUCACCUCAACACCCAUUUUUUCCUCUGAAUUGUCACCUCUGAUACCCUCCUGCUUCCCCAGCCACCCUCUGGGCCCCCAGUAAACCUGCCCAGUUUUGCAGGUGACCAAGUUGGCCACUGGGAUGUUUUGGCUGAGCCAAAGGUUGGUCCCUCUACCCUUAAGGACCCAAUAAACCUCUCCAGCCACCUCUUGGGUGGGGGAGAUCCUUGUG